GACGAACGCUGGCGGCGUGCUUAACACAUGCAAGUCGAACGGAAAGGCCCUGCUUUUGCGGGGUGCUCGAGUGGCGAACGGGUGAGUAACACGUGAGUAACCUGCCCUUGACUUUGGGAUAACUUCAGGAAACUGGGGCUAAUACCGGAUAGGAGCUCCUGCUGCAUGGUGGGGGUUGGAAAGUUUCGGCGGUUGGGGAUGGACUCGCGGCUUAUCAGCUUGUUGGUGGGGUAGUGGCUUACCAAGGCUUUGACGGGUAGCCGGCCUGAGAGGGUGACCGGCCACAAUGGGACUGAGAUACGGCCCAGACUGCUACGGGAGGCAGCAGUGGGGAAUAUUGCACAAUGGGCGGAAGCCUGAUGCAGCAACGCCGCGUGCGGGAUGACGGCCUUCGGGUUGUAAACCGCUUUCGCCUGUGACGAAGCGUGAGUGACGGUAAUGGGUAAAGAAGCACCGGCUAACUACGUG
rnacentral:rRNA from 1 species